UUUCACCCAUUUUCCCACCAAAUUCCUCAUUUUUCCCACCAAAUCCCGGAUUUUCCCUGGAAAUUCCCAAUUUUUUCCCCGAUUUUCCCUCCCAAUCCCGAAUUUUCCGUACCCGCCUUGAGCCUCUCGGUGCCUCCCUCGUGUCCGGCGGCCUCGGAGUGUCCGGAGCUCCCGGAAUUCCCGGAAUUCCCGGAAUUCCCGGAAUUCCCGGGCUGCGGCUCCGCCCCCCUCUGCGGCCUGCGGGAAAAUCCGGGAAUUCUGAGGCUGCCACCCCCCGAAAAUCCCAAUUUUCUUUUUUUCCCAAAUUUCCCCCCAUUUUUUCCCAAUUUUCCCAAUUUUUUUCCUGAAUUUCCCCCAUUUUCCAAAUUUUUCCCCACUUUUUCCAAUUAUUUUCCACAAUUUUCCCCAUUUUUCCCUCAUUUUCCCCAAUUUUCCCCCAUUUCCACCUCCUUUAUCCCCAUUGUUCCAAAUUUUUUCCCAAUUUCCCCACUUUUCCCCAAUUUUUCCAAAAUUCCUCAAUUUCCCCCCAUUUCCCCCAUUUUCUCCCCCAUUUCCCCAAUUUUCCCCCCAAUUUUCUCCCAAUUCUCCCCAAAUUUUCCCAAUUUUUUCCCAAAUUUCCCCCAUUUCCCCCUAAAUUUCCCCCUUUUCCCCAAUUUUUCCCAAAUAUCCCCAUUUUCCCCUAAUUUUCCCCCAAUUUUCCCCCAUUUUUCCAAAAUUUCCCCCAUUUUCUCCCCAAAUUUUCCCCUAUUUCCCCCAAUUUUCCCAAAUCUCCCCCGAAUUUUCCCCCAUUUCCCCCCAUUUUUUCCUCAUUUUUCCCAAUCUUCCCCAAUUUCCCCCAAUUUUCCCUCAAUUUUCCCCCAUUUUUCCCAAUUUUUCCCUCAUUUUCCCCAUUUUUCCCAAUUUUCCACCAAAUGUCCCAAUUUUCCCCAUUUUCCCCCCAAAUUUCCCCCACUUUCCCAAUUUUCCCAAUUUUGUCCCAAUUUUCCCCCAUUUUCCCCAAUUUUCCCAUUAUCUCCCAUUUCCCCCCAUUUUAUCCCAGAUUUCCCCCCUAAUUUCCCCAUUUUUUUCCCAAUUUUUCCCCAUUUUCCCCAAUUUCCCCCAUUUUAUCCCAAAUUUCCCCCAAUUUUUCCCAAAUUUUCCCCCAAUUUCCUUCUUUUUCCCUAGAUUUCCCCCUUUUCUCCCCCAUUUUUCCCCAUUUUUUCCCCAAUUUUCCCCCAAUUUUUCCCCAUUUUUCCCCAAAUUUUCCCCAUUUUCCCCAUUUUUUCCCCAAUUUCCCCCAUUUUAUCCCAAAUUUCUCCCCCAAAUUUCCCCCAUUUUCCCCAAUUUUCCCAAUUUUGUCUCAAAUGUUUCCCAUUUUCCCCCAAUUUUCCAAAAUUUCUCCCAUUUUCUCCAUUUUUCCCUAAUUUUCCCCCAAUUUUUCCCUAUUUUCCCCCUUUUCCCCAAUUUUCCCCUUUUCCCCCCCAUUUCCCCCCCAAAUUUCCACCAUUUUUCCCAUUUUCCCCAAUUUUGUCUCAAAUGUUUCCAAUUUCCCCCCAAUUUUUCCCCAAUUUCCUUCCAAUCUCUCCCAUUUUCUCAAUUUUUUCCCAAUUUUCCCCAAAUUUCCCCAUUUUUUCCCCCAAUUUCCCCCCAUUUUUUCCCAUUUUAUCCCAAAUUUCCCCCAUUUUUCCCCAAUUUCCCCCAUUUCCUCGAUUUCCCCUCAUUUCACCCCAAUUUUUUCCCCAAUUUCCUUAUUUUCCCCCAGAUUUCCCCCCUUUUCUCCCCCAUUUUUUUCCCCAAUUUCCCCCAUUUUAUCCCAAAUUUUCCCUCUAAUUUCCCCAUUUUUCCCCAAUUUCCCCCAUUUUAUCCCAAAUUUCUCCCCCAAUUUUUCCCCCUUUUCUCCCCAAUUCUUCCCCAAUUUCUCCCCAAUUUUUCCCAAUUUUUUCCCCAAUUUUCCCCAUUUUCUCCCAUUUUCCCCCAUUUUCCCCAAAUUUCCCCAAUUUUCCCCAAAUUUUCCCCAUUUUUCCCCAUUUUUCCCCAAUUCUCCCAAAAUUCUCCCCAUUUUCCCCAUUUUUCCCAAUUCCCCCCAAUUUUUCCCCGUUCCCACCUCUCUGGGGCUCCGCGGGCGCCGCCGGUGCCGGAGAAGCUUCCGGAGCUCUGGCGGAAGGCGGAGCCGGAACGGGGCGACUCCGGGAAACUCAGCGGGCUGGGACGGAAAAAUGGGAAAUUUGGGAAAAUUUGGGGGAAUUUGGGGGAAAUUGGGAGAAUUGGGGGAAAAUUGGGGGGAAUUUGGGGAAUUCCAGAGGAAAUGUGGGGAUUUUGGGGGGAUUUUUGGUGGAAUUUUGGGAUUUUGGAGGAAUUUUGGGGAGAAUUUUGGGAAUUUUCGGCAGAAUUUUGGGGAUUUUCUGGGAAUUUUGGGAAGGAAGAAUUUUGGGGAUUUUGUGGGAGGGAAGGAUUUUGUGGGAAUUUUGGGGGGAAAUUUGGUGGAAUUUUGGAGGAAUUUUGGGGAGAAUUUCGGGAAUUCCAGGGGAAAUUUGGGAAUUUUGGGGGGAAUUUGGGAAUUUUGGGGGGAAUUUCGGGAAUUCCAGGGGAAAUUUGGGGAAUUUUGGGGAGAAUUUGGGGAUUUUGGGGAGAAUUUCGUGAAUUCCAGGGGAAAUGUGGGAAUUUUGAGGAGAAUUUCGGGAAUUCCAGGGGAAAUUUGGGAAUUUUGGGAGGAAUUUGGGGAAUUCCAGGGGAAAUGUGGGAAUUUUGAGGAGAAUUUCGGGAAUUUUGAGGAGAAUUUCGGGAAUUUUGAGGAGAAUUUCGGGAAUUCAUGGGGAAAUUUGGGAAUUUUGUGGAGAAUUUGGGGAAUUCCAGAGGAAAUGUGGGAAUUUUGAGGAGAAUUUUGGAAAUUUUUGGUGGAAAUGUGGGAAUUCUGGGGUAAUUCCGGGGAAUUUUUGGUGGAAAUGUGGGAAUUUUGUGGGUAAUUUCAGGGAAUUCCAGAGGAAAUGUGGGAAUUUUGAGGAGAAUUUUGUGAAUUUUUGGUGGAAAUGUGGGAAUUUUGAGGAGAAUUUGGGGAAUUCCAGGGGAAAUUUGGGAAUUUUGAGGAGAAUUUUGGGAAUUUUGGUGAGAAUUUCGGGAAUUUUUUCUGGAAAUGUGGGAAUUUUGGGGUAAUUCCGGGAAUUCCAUGGGAAAUGUGGGAAUUUGGGGGUAAUUUUGGGGAAUUUUUGCUGGAAAUGUGGGAAUUUUGGGGAUAAUUUUGGGAACUUUUGCUGGAAAUGUGGGAAUUUGGUGGUAAUCCCGGUAUGCGUCGCUCCCUCACCGUUUGCCGUGUCCCGGCGGCGGCUCCCGGGGCAGCGCCGGCGGCACCGGGGCCCGUUUGGUGCCGCCGCGGUGCCAGGCGGGCGCGGGGCGGUGCCCGGCCCGGAUCGGCUCCGGGAUCGGCUCCGGGAACGGCGCCGGGAACGGCGCCGGGAACGGCUCCGGGAACGGCUCCGGGUCCGGCGGCGCCUCCGCUCCGGCUGCCAGGCUUUCCGACCAACCCCUGCGGGGACAGCGGGAACGUGUCACCCAUGGGACACCCAUGGGACAUCGUGUCACCCACGGGGACACCCACGGGACACCCAUGGGGAGAGGGACACCCACGGGGACAGGGACACCGUGUCACCCACGGGGACACUGUGUCACCCAUGGGACACCCACGGGGAUGGGGACACCCACGGGGACACCCAUGGGACACCCAUGGGGACACCCAUGGGGACAUCAACGGGGACACCCACGGGGACACCCACGAGGACAGGGACACCCACGGGACACCCAUGGGACACCCACGGGACAGGGACACCGUGUCACCCACGGGGACACCCACAGGACACCCACGGGACACCCACGGGGACACCGUGUCACCCACGGGGACAGGGACACCGUGUCACCCACGGGACACCCACGGGGACACCCACGGGACACCCAUGGGACACCCACGGGGACAUCGUGUCACCCACGGGGACACCCAUGGGGACACCGUGUCACCCACGGGACACCCACGGGACACCCACGGGGACACCCACGGGGACACCCACGGGGACACCGUGUCACCCAUGGGACACCCAUGGGACACCCAUAGGGACAGGGACACCCACGGGGACACCGUGUCACCCAUGGGACACCCAUGGGACACCCACGGGACACCCAUGGGACACCCACGGGGACAGGGACAAGGGACACCCACGGGACACCCACGGGGACACCCACAGGGACACCCAUGGGGACACCCACGGGACAGGGACACCGUGUCACCCACGGGGACACCCA
ensembl:lncRNA